CAGCUAUUAUAUUUGUUACUUAAUGUAAGUAGGCUAUUUUUGUCUAAAAAAAGAAUCAAUUGCCAUAAAUGUCCGGCAGCGAUGCAAAAGUGGGUGGGAAGGUCAAAAACUAAAACGUUUAAAAAGUCCUUAUAUAGUUUUGAGGAACGAUCUUUUAGGGGAGUGAAACAUCUAUUAUUGGCAACAUGUUUUGGUGUAGUAAGUUAUAGUUAAGUGUCUGAAAUGUUGUUUCGUCUAUUUUAGCCGGCCUAAGUGAGCUAACAAAGAAAUCAUCAGUCCACAAAAGAAUCAACCAGGGAAGGAGAAAAACAUUCAAAGCUGCAAAUUGCCAAAUCCAUCACCGGCCUAAAGGAGCUAACAAAAAAAAUCAUCAGUCCACAAAAGAAUCAACCAGUGAAGGAGAAAAACAUUCAAAGCUGUAAAUUGCCAAAUCCAUCAGUUGGAAGAUGGAUGUCAAAGUCUCAGACAAAAGCUUCCAGAGUUAAGGAGAGAACACUUCAACAAAAACAAGCACGAGAAGAAUGACUGCAAAAAAGUUUUUCGCAGAUUCGUUUCCUUAUCAAGUGUAUUUAAGGAAAAUGGACCUGUCUACAGAGACUAGAUGUAAAUGUCAAGGACUGCAAUGAGCAAUUCAAUGACUCCUUUCUAAUUGUGUCAAGUGUCAUAAAAAAUUAAAACUGUUAUAAAUGGA